GCCUGUGGAUCAAGAUGUAGAACUCUUAGCUUCUUCUCCAGCACCACGUUUGCCUGCACACUGCAGUGUUUCCUGCUGUGAUAAUAGACUAAACUUCUGAAAAUCUUUAUUUAACUGUUGCAGAUUAUUCCACGGACCAAAUGGUGGAUGUCCAGGACCCUGCAAGCAAGUUUCCUGCAUCUCGAGACUGCUUUCCAACCCCAGUAGACUGAGCACCUCACCCUCUCCUGCCACACUGAACCUUUAGAGUUACAGAAAACAUAACGGCUGAUGCCGUCCAUGAAUUCUAGGCACAGGUGUUCGCACUGUCCCUGUGAACCAGUUCGGUACAGCACUUUGGCUACCCUGGUCAACUUGAUAAGCUGCCCGCAACUCCUGUCCAUCCUGGCAACCGUCUGGUGGAGACUAUUACUUGUUUCUCUAAGAGGAGAUGGGUGACUGAGCCUAGCUUGUUGGGUUUUUUGGGUUUUUUUUGGUUUUUUACCUUAUAACCGCUGUCAACACUAUUUGCUGACUCUGCAGAAAAGCCAUGUUGGAGAAAAAACAUCUCAGAUGCAGAGGGCAGACUGAAGGGUCCCACACAGAUACAGAAAUCACCUUAUCCCACAGCCUUUUUCUAGACAGCAUCAUCUGCUCUCCACCACUAUUCAGUAAGGCAGAGAAACGAGUCUGUGGACUCUACACACCCUCAAGUCCAACCCUUUGUAAGAACACCCUGGUAGGCAUAACUGGGGCCUUAGCCUGCUUUCUCCUUGUCAGUUUGGUGGGUCUUUUAAGCUAUAUGGGUCUUUCUUAAGCUAAUUUGAGUUUCUACACUUUGUCUGACAGUAAGAAUGACUCCUUGUCUUGUACGUGUGUGAACCCGAGUAUCUUGAAGAUUAUUUUUGGACUACAUUAAUAAACAGAUACUGUUGCCUGUC